rnacentral:lncRNA from 1 species
GAUCUUAUGGUUGAAUUAAGAAACGUAAGUUUUAUUAAUUUGUCAAAAAACAAAAUGACGAAAAUCUCACGUAUUUUGCAAAUGUUUAACCCUUGUCAGAUUUAUAUAGGAGAAAUCGUUAUUUACUGUAAAUGCAAAGACAGUUGGCUUCAAAAUUGGCUGCCAUCAUUUCAAAGUAAAUGUUUCAAUAAUACGAGAGUAUAUUGCAAGUAUCAUAAUGAAAAAGUUCACAUAUUGAAUAUGACUAGACAUGAACUUGGAUGUAGACUCUACAAUGACUUUAUCUUAAGUUUGAACAUUUCACUUGCCGUGGGAGUGUUUUUUGUAACUGUAUCAUCGCUUUCUAUAUAUACCAUCCGUUUUGAACUUUUCAUAAUGAUACGAAAAUUUCUGAAGUACUGCAAAGGGAUAGUUGUUCCAUCAGACGCAUAUGCAUAUGAUAUCUACAUAUCUUGCAAUGAAAAUGACGUUUAUUUACGGCAUUGGCUAACUUCAUCAUUUGUUCCUUUUCUUCAAGAAAAAAAUCUCAGUGUGUUUUUACCUUAUCGAGAUUGUCAAAUAGGGCGACUGCGUGAGGAAGAAACCAUUGAUAUAAUGUCAACGAGUCUUAAUUUCGUAAUUUUGCUGUCCGAGAAUUGUGAAAGUUCAAUAGAAAUGUGGAUUAAGAAAGAAUGGAAAUAUGCAUGGUACAAUUAUAGAUAUGAUAUCAAUCGAGAAAUUAUCGUAAUAAAUUAUGACAUGAUGGACUAUCAAGAUGUGACACAUAAAUAUUUGAGAGCAUUUUUAAAAAUGAAUAGUUUUAUUAAUUUUUCAAAAAAGGAUAAACUGAUAAAAGCAGAGGUGUACUCGAGACUGCAACAUUAUCAUGAUUCAGUAUUCGGGAAAAAAAUAUGCAACGGACCAUGUACAACAAGGCGUAAUAGUAAUCUAGGCUCUGACAUUGAGAUGAAAAAAUCGUCAAAUCAAACAUGACAUUAAAUCGAAUAUUUCUAUAAUUCUACAGUUAUAAACUAAGCAUACAAUCAUGUCUACAGCAAUAAAGUAUAACAAAAUACUUAUAAGUACUAGCAAUUUAUUCAACAUAAAAUAGACACCAACAUAGAUCUCAGCAUUAUCACAAAUGUUUUUGAAAUCUAAUUAAAACAGUUCUUAAGGAAUUAAAGGAACAAUCUACUUAGAGGAAAACUAGGAUAUUUUGUCAGC